CACCCUUUUGCCGGACUCGAACCAGCUCCUCCCGGUCCGAUACCGGGAGACAAAGUGUCAUCGGAGACCUUAUUACCAUUUGACAGCCUUCCGGUUGUGUGCUCGAUCGAGAGUUUCUCGCAUACCUCAUCAUGCAAUCAUCGACGGAUGGUUCGAUCCCAACAUGCGAGUUGCUCGAACCUCGCUCCUCGGCGUGACUCACUUUCUCCCGGUCACUAUCAUCUUCUACAUCAUCCUUGCUAUCUACCGACUCAUGUGCGUUCUGCUCCGGGGGAUGCUCCAGAAAGGCAUCUGUCUCUGGACUCGCGGUGUCAUGGCUUUCAGGGCUACGACCAGAGCAAGGUUCGAUGUCUCUCUCAUGGGUUUCUUGGUUUGGUUGGAGUUCUUCGAAGACAGCAUGGAUGUCUUCCGAAGCAGGUGGCGGCUGGUAAGAGAAUUCUUCCAUCCCUUCAGUAUUUGCCAGGUCCACUUGUUCUUUAAGCAGCUCUGCCUCUCGCACUGAUGCAAAGUCGGAGUGUGCAGCUGCGCUCGUAGACAAAAAUGCUUCCAACUCCGCUCGCAGUUCCCUCAGCUGUGAAUAUUUCUCCUCGAGAAUCAGCUUUGCCUCGAUUAACUUCAUCUGAACCCUUUCCUCGCGCCAUACCUCUGCCAUUUGCAGCAUCUUCUUGUCGUCUUCAGCUUCUUCUCGUAUCUUCAAUGCUUCCAUCUUCAGCGUUCCGAUCUCAGCUUUGUCUUCCCCGAUCUCCUUCGCAAGCUCAUCACAGACCUCCUCGACAAGCUCGCGAGCUCGGCGUUCUUUCCCACAGUCACGCAGGAGCUGCUUCGCGGUUAGUUUGGCUUCAGCAAGCUCAUCGAUCAGCCUGGCACGAACGAUCUCUGCUUUUUGUCGCUUUUUCCUCUCUCUGUGGAGAUCAGCCUUCGUCGCCUCGAUCAUAGCCCUGACCUUCUCGUGCUCCCUGCUUCGCCAUGACGCUUUCUCCUCGGCAACCCUUUUCAAGAAUCGAUCCAGCUCUUUCUUUGCUGACCUCCGUUCGGUCUCGAGUUCAAUGAUGCGGGCACGAGCUCUUUCGAGCUCGGUCCGAAGGGAAUUAACGAGUGUAUCUGUGUUCAAUUCCUGAGCUUCAAGAAGCUUCAGUUGACCAUAGAACCGGAAGACCUCCUCCGAUGUCAUCGAGCUCUCAGGAUCCCAUUUAGUUGCAUUCUCCGUUACAGAAUUGGGAAAUCCAGCGAGCUGUUUUACAUGGAUGACACAAACAAAAAUCAUAUCUCCGGAAAAAACAAGAAACCGAGAGAAGGGUUAGGAAUUCGACCAGUCUAAAGAACGAAGAUAUACCUUAAGAACAUUGCCAUAUUUGGGACUUAGAACUGAGACUGGACCGACAGAUCCAUUCUUUUUAUUCUUAUUAGCAUGCAGGUCAGCGCCAAGGGGAUUACAAAGCAGCCGAUCUCGUUGAUGCUGAGGAACAGACUGCACAGUCAAAAAGAGAGAAGCAGAACAGAGAACAUCAAACAUUUUUCAAGCAUGCGAAGUGCAGUAUAACAUGUUGAAGAUUAAAAGCAAGCAUCACUGUUAAUGGACCUGCACCUUCCAACCUUCAAUCAAAUUCAUGGCCAAGCCAACUUUACGACCUAGACUCUUCGAAGCUAAUAUUUGACGAAAAUAGCAAGAAUCGAAGAACAAAUUGGUACACGAAAGACCCCCCAACCCCUUCAAGCAUCAAGAAUGGUAGCAAACCCUUUUCUUCUCCGUCUGAGGGGAUCCUGAAAAGAUGCUAAAGAUCGGAGGUUUUUGAACGGAAUGAGCAAGAAAAAGAAAAAGGUAGACUUUUGAGACAAGUAGUAUGGCAUCAAUAUGUGAGCCUCUACCAAGAAUCAAGCCACCAUCCACUGCAGAAAAAGGAGCUCUAGUGGAAUCUUGAUCCUGCCAUACCUCGAGACCAGGAGGAGGUCGUCGGCUGCCAUUGCCAUCA